UUUCUUCCCGUGCUUAGUUUCCUUCUCAUCGCAAGUUGUUUUGCUUCCCUUUCAUUUACAAUACAAUGCUUCCCUUUCAUUUACAAUACAAUGGGAGAUCAUUUUCUCCGUGUGAUUAUCAUAGAAUACCUCAUUCUCUUAUUUCGGUCGAAGUUUUCUCUUCUCUCUUGAAGUUGUCUUCUGUUUUCUCCAUAGUCAUCUUCUUCUCCGUGGAAAUCCUUUCGUAAGUGUUUUUCCUUUUAAUGUUAGUUUUUUUUCUUCUCCCCAUUGGUUGUUUUGAGUGUUAUAAACCCUAAUCUUCACUUCAAUUUUGUUAACCGUAACUUCAAUGUUUAUGUUCUGGUGAUAAAUCAUUUAUUGUUAGUACUAAUUCAUGGUUUCAUUUCCUUUUUUUCGUAAUCUGUGACUUUCCUUGAAUGCAAGUUGGUAGGUGUUUAGUUGGGCCUGUAACGAGAAGAAAGCGUAGAAUUAGGUUUGUUUAUGGACCUGAAUCAAUGAAUUUCAAACUUCGGUACAAGUUAGUCAUGUUUGUAUAGCAUAUUAAUCUCCUAUUGUUUGACCAAAUUUUACAUUGGAGGGAUCAAUACUAAUCCAAUUAUUUUUGCAGUCAUCAACAUACGGGACAAUACUUGAUGGAAUUGUUCAAUUAACUAAAAAGGAUGAGUGUGCUUAUCAGGAGAUGAUUGGUCAUCUCCCCCUCUAUUCAAUUCCAUCCCCUAAAUCGUAAAGUCAUUUGAUCUAAUGAUUAUGGUUCUGAGCAUAUCAUGAAUGUCUAACAAUAACAUUAUAAUCUUGAUAGCCUUGUUGUGAUUAUUGUUCCUUUUUUUUAUCCUCUCAUUUGUCUUGAGAAAGUGUUGAUAUAUAUUAAAAAAUAUGAUUUAUUGAAUUUACUCUACUUUUUCAUGUUUUUCUUUUUCUCUUUCUAUCUGUUUUCAUAAUCGUGUAAUGACUUUUUAUGUUCAUUCAAGUUUUAAUAGUUUGUGGUGGAGAUGGUGGAAUACUUAGGGAAGUAUCCCGCCACAACUCUGUAGCACAUAUUGAUAUAUGUGAGAUAGAUCAGAUGGUUAUUGGCGUAAGUAAAACCAUAUUUUGAUCAUUAAUGUAGCUACUUCAUAUUGAGAAAAAAAAUUAUGGUCAUUAUGCAAUUUUGGUCUCUCAUUCUUGAACUGAUUUAUUGCUUGCGAUGUUGAUGUUACAAAAAAACCAACCCUAUGGUGGCUGAGAUUUUUUCUCUGAUGUCCAGGGAUGAAGCCAGACAUGUUGGGUUUUUGAACAAGGGUUUAUGUGAUUUCAGUUUGGCUCAAGACUUGAGUUUCUUGACCAAAGCUAGAAAAUACACGUUUUUCAAGCCUAAAUUUAUCUUUUAUGCUACAUACUUGUUAGAGAAAAUUGGGUACUGAAGAUACAUAACCAUUUACAGACAUCUCAAGGCAGCACAAGAAUAUAGUAGAGAUUACAAGUGAAAGUUGGUAUACAGAAUCCUACACACCUUAAAUGGUAAUGUUUAUGUCACUAUUAUCUUAAUGAUUGCCAACAUACAACUUUCUAUGAAGGCAUUGGACUUAACACAAAUGAGUUUGACAUGCAUGUCAUCAUUGAGGUUAACUUUUGUCUGCAUACGUGUUAAGAUCACUAUUGCUCUUGUUUCACCUUCCAGUACUCUUUGUUACUAUGACAAUUUCUUUCUAUUCAGUCCCAAUAUGAAUUUAGUAACAUGGUAUGAUAAGAUGAAAAUAAUGGAGAUAAACCAUUAUUUUCCCAACUAUUCUUGAUGUUGAAAACCCAGAAUUCAAGAGGAAGUUGGACAGGAUGGUGGAGAUAAACCAAAAGAUUUUUGCUAUUGGUGAGAGUGAUGACAUACAGUUGGUGAAGGACUUGAAAUUUUGGCUGCAUAUUUAAUGCCACCAAUUGAAUCAGGGUCUAUAGAUUUGGCCGAGUUUGAACCACAUCUUGUGUACUGAAGUUGUGUAUAAUUUGAUUAAAUUCGGCACAAUAUAAAUGUAGAUUUUCAUUAGAUGUCAAGACUUGAAUUAAUAGUGAUUUCAUUUUUGUUUGUCUUUA